rnacentral:rRNA from 1 species
UACAGAGGUCCCAAGCGUUGUUCGGAUUCACUGGACGUAAAGGGUGCGUAGGUGGUCGGGUAAGUCCGAUGUGAAAUCUCCAGGCUCAACCUGGAAAUGGCAUUGGAUACUAUUCGGCUUGAGGAGUGGAGGGGGGACUGGAAUUCUCGGUGUAGCAGUGAAAUGCGUAGAUAUCGAGAGGAACACCAGUGGCGAAGGCGAGUCCCUGGACACUUCCUGACACUGAGGCACGAAAGCUAGGGGAGCAAACAGG